AUCCAGCUGAGGAGUUUCAAAUAAGACGAAACGCGCGUCCUAAAC
rnacentral:hammerhead_ribozyme from 1 species